GUUAUAUAGAAUUUAUCACAAUUUAUUAUUAAAAUAUGAAAAAGUUUACAUCACUUAAACCCUAUUAUGGUGGUAAUUGAAAUGUCAAUUUCUUCCUUUGACAAAACACAGCCGGGCAUUACAUUUCAGGCAGUAAACAGUUGUAAACCCCUUUUUGCAAAAAGCACAUCGACCAUAUUCCUGUCCAUGUUCAGGGAAAUGAUCUAUAGAAUCAAAUCUUACGUCAUCUAUGGGCCUGGUGCGUUUAGGAUUUUUAAUCUUUUCUUCUUCUUUUAAGCCUGGAACACUGAAUACUUCUACAUUAUUUCCUUUAUACAGCAAUGCCUUGUAAAUUUCAAGUCUGAAGUGCUUUAGAGGUUUGUAUUUUUUAUUACCUUUUCGGCUUUGAUCACGGCGGUAACACAACCAGGCAUUAUUUACACAGAUGUCCAAUAACUGGGAAAAUAUAGACAAGUACCAGCGCCUGCUCUUUAUCUCUGUGCGGUACAGGGCAAUUAGCAUGUCCGCUAAAUCCACGCCACCCAUGUGUGCAUUGUAAUGUUUUACAAUUUUAGGGUAGUCUACAUCAAUCCUUGUCUUCUUGACUUUACAAUAUCUUUUUACUUUAGUUGUUGGAUAGGCAUCAGUAUAACUUGAAGCUAGAGUUACACAUUUAUUGUCAUUCCACUUCACCAGCGAAAGCUUUGUUUUAUUGCAUACAGUUUGACUGAAUGCUCCUCUACCUUUUUUUUUAAGAUCUUUAUCAGAUUUUAGUUUAUUUGCAGCAUUUCUGAGCCGGUUUGCACGCAUCGUGCCAAGACUAAAAAUUCCCAGAGACUCCCGAAGGUAAUGUAUCAACUCUAACGAAGAGAAAAAAUUAUCAAAGUAGACAAUACAUGGCUUCUUCUUUAUAGAUUUACAGAGUCUUAAUACUGCUUUCGCACCCCAUCCCAAGCCUUCUUCUUCUUCAGUAAAAACGCAAUUUUCAAAAGUAUCAUUACCAGCAUAUAAAAAAAAAUCAUAUAUAAUACCUGAUGCGCCAGCCCGUACCAAGUUUUUAAACCCCCAUUUUCUUGGUUUACGUGGAUUGUAUUGCCGCCUUUUGCCGGCUUUUGUGCCUUUGUACGGAAUUACCAUCUCGUCGAUACUAAAUCUUGACUCCUCCUCUAAUUUGAGACAAUUUUUUCUGAUUUCUUCCGAGAACGGCCUUAUUUUGAAGUAAGGGUCAGAAUCCAUUUUGGUAUUAUCCACAAAAUGUAGAUAUCGCCUAAUGCUUUGGUAUCGCUUCAGAGACAUGAUAUCUGCUACCAAAGGAAAUCGUGUAUCAGCUCGCCAAUAGUCUAGGUAGGACGGCAUGGACACAAUACCCAUUAUCACUUUAAUAGCUAUGAAAUUACGUAAUUCUGCUUCUGUUAGAUUCAAAGGUCGUCCUGUUGUUUGCAUAGAGUACAUAUUUGUAUAUUGGCAAAUAUCUCGAAUCAUCUCUUCAGAAAAAAAGUCCGUAAAAUAGUCAAAUGCAUUCUUAUUAUCGGGUAUAGGGUUUUCGAAAACAUCAGGAUCCAAUUCAGCACAAUGCUUGAAGCGUCCACUAGACCAUUGAAAUUCGAGUUCCGUUUUCUUUUUUCGAUUCACGGGACGUGGUCUGUUAGUUGCAGACUGUCGUUGACGUUCCGCUCUCGUGUUACGGCUUGAUUGUGGAGUUGAAGCGACAAGUGGUGAUUGCAGGGGGGAGUCUGACAUAUGGUCGAGUAUAUAUGAAGUUGUUAUUGAAGGUAUGUUUGACAUCGGUGUCAAAGGAGGGCAUGAACUUAUGGAUGGUAGGG